rnacentral:rRNA from 1 species
ACAAGCGGUGGAGCAUGUGGUUAAUUCGAAGCAACGCGAAGAACCUUACCAGGUCUUGACAUCCCCUGACAACCCGAGAGAUCGGGCGUUCCCCUUCGGGGGACAGGGUGACAGGUGGCGCAUGGUUGUCGUCAGCUCGUGUCGUGAGAUGUUGGGUUAAGUCCCGCAACGAGCGCAACCCUCGACCUUAGUUGCCAGCAUUCAGUUGGGCACUCUAAGGUGACUGCCGGCUAAAAGUCGGAGGAAGGUGGGGAUGACGUCAAAUCAUCAUGCCCCUUAUGACCUGGGCUACACACGUGCUACAAUGGGCGGUACAAAGGGUCGCGAACCCGCGAGGGGGAGCCAAUCCCAAAAAGCCGCUCUCAGUUCGGAUUGCAGGCUGCAACUCGCCUGCAUGAAGCCGGGAUCGCUAGUAAUCGCGGAUCAGCAUGCCGCGGUGAAUACGUUCCCGGGCCUU